rnacentral:rRNA from 1 species
GACCUUGCGCUAUCGGAUGAGCCUAUGUCGGAUUAGCUAGUUGGUGAGGUAAUGGCUCACCAAGGCCGCGAUCCGUAGCUGGUCUGAGAGGAUGAUCAGCCACAUCGGGACUGAGACACGGCCCGAACUCCUACGGGAGGCAGCAGUGGGGAAUAUUGGACAAUGGGCGAAAGCCUGAUCCAGCCAUGCCGCGUGUGUGAAGAAGGCCUUCGGGUUGUAAAGCACUUUCAGCGAGGAAGAACGCCUGUGGGUUAAUACCCCGCAGGAAGGACAUCACUCGCAGAAGAAGCACCGGCUAACUCCGUGCCAGCAGCCGCGGUAAUACGGAGGGUGCAAGCGUUAAUCGGAAUUACUGGGCGUAAAGCGCGCGUAGGCGGCUUGAUAAGCCGGUUGUGAAAGCCCCGGGCUCAACCUGGGAACGGCAUCCGGAACUGUCAGGCUAGAGUGCAGGAGAGGAAGGUAGAAUUCCCGGUGUAGCGGUGAAAUGCGUAGAGAUCGGGAGGAAUACCAGUGGCGAAGGCGGCCUUCUGGACUGACACUGACGCUGAGGUGCGAAAGCGUGGGUAGCAAACAGGAUUAGAUACCCUGGUAGUCCACGCCGUAAACGAUGUCGACUAGCCGUUGGGGUCCUCGAGACCUUUGUGGCGCAGUUAACGCGAUAAGUCGACCGCCUGGGGAGUACGGCCGCAAGGUUAAAACUCAAAUGAAUUGACGGGGGCCCGCACAAGCGGUGGAGCAUGUGGUUUAAUUCGAUGCAACGCGAAGAACCUUACCUACUCUUGACAUCGAGCGAACUUUCCAGAGAUGGAUUGGGUGCCCUUCGGGAACGCUCAGACAGGUGCUGCAUGGCCGUCGUCAGCUCGUGUUGUGAA